ensembl:lncRNA
UGGUUUAUACUGGUUUAUACUGGUUUAUACUGGUGUAUACUGGUGUAUACUGGUCGGUACUGGUGUAUACUGGUGCCUACUGGUCCAUACUGGUUUAUACUGGUGUAUACUGGUGUAUACUGGUGAAUACUGGUCGGAACUGGUGUAUACUGGUGUAUACUGGUGAAUACUGGUCGGAACUGGUGUAUACUGGUGUAUACUGGUCCAUACUGGUCCAUACUGGUGUAUACUGGUGCAUACUGGUCCAUACUGGUUCAUACUGGUGUAUACUGGUGUAUACUGGUGUAUACUGGUCCAUACUGGUUUAUACUGCUGUAUACUGGUUUAUAUUGGUCCAUACUGGUUUAUACUGCUGUAUACUGGUCUAUACUGGACGGUACUGGUGAAUACUGGUCCAUACUGGUUUAUAGUGGUGUAUACUGGUUUAUACUGGUCCGUACUGGUGGGAAUGGGAGUGCAGUGCCUGUGGCGCUGUUUCAGGGCGAGGCGGUGAACCGCAUAGAGCUGCAGGUGCUGCAGUCCGGGACGGCGGUGCUCAAAGGGCAGCAGCAGCUCUGCUCCGCGCGCACACAGCGCCGCCGCGCCACCAGGAAGCGGCUCCUCAUGGCUGCCUGCGUGGCUCUCACCCUCCUCAUCCUCGUGGCCAUCAUCGCCGCUUCCGUGGCUGCCGGCUGAGCCCCGCCCUCCCCACCCCAUGCUUCGUGCUGAUUGGCCGCCGCCGCGCCUUAGCCCCGCCCCCCUCGCUGCCGAUUGGACGCCGCCGCACCCUUGCCCCGCCCUCCCUCUAUUCGGAGGGGGGGGGGGGGGGGGGUUUUGGGUUGGGCACUUCCUGUCACUAAUGGCGUCACUUCCUGUCUCUACCGAUGUCGCUUCCUGGCACUAACGGCACCGCUUCCUGUCGCUAAUGACAUUGCUUCCUGUCGCUAAUGACGUCACUUCCUGUCGCUAAUGAUGUCACUUCCUGCGGCUACAGAAGGCUCUUCCGGACAAUGCUGACAUCGCUUCUUGUCUCUACUGAAGUCACUUCCUGUUGCUGUUGAGGCCACUUCCUGUCGCUAACGGCGUCACUUCCUGUUGCUGCUGACACCGCUUCCUGUCACUGACGCCACUUCCUGUCUCUGCAGGUGUCAGUUCCUGCCACUACUGACGUCACUUCCAUCUCUACUGACAUCACUUCCUGUUGCUGCUCACGUCACUUCCUACCAUUAUUGCUGUCACUUCCUGUUGCUAUUGAUGUCACUUCCUGUUGCUACUGACGUCACUUCCUGGCACUACUGAUGUCACUUCCUGUUGCUGUUGAUGUCACUUCCUGACUCUACUGACCUAUCUUCCUGGCACUACUGACGUCACUUCCUGUUGCUGUUGAUGUCACUUCCUGGCACUACUGACCUGUCUUCCUGACACUACGACGUCACUUCCUGGCACUACUGACGUCACUUCCUGUUGCUGUUGACGUCACUUCCUGAGUCUACUGACAUCGCUUCCUGGCACUACUGACGUCACUUCCUGUUGCUGUUGACAUCACUUCCUGACUCUACUGACGUCACUUCCUGGCACUACUGUCGUCACUUCCUGUUGCUGUUGACGUCACUUCCUGAAACUACUGACCUGUCUUCCUGGCACUACUGACGUCACUUCCUGGCACUACUGACGUCACUUCCUGUCUCUACUGAUGCCACUUCCUGCUGCUGCUGACGUCACUUCCUUUCGCUGGUUGGGAUGGGGGUCACAUGGCACUGUUCUGAGCUACCUCAGCUGUUUCCCCCACUGACCCCAUUGACCCCAUUGACCCCAUAUUGACCCCAUUGUCCUCACUGACCCUACUGGGGUCCCAUUGACCCCAUUGAGGCCCCAUUGUCCCCAUUGACCCCAUUGGGGCCCCAUUGACCACAUUGGGGCUCCAUUGACCCCAUUGGGGCCCCAUUGAUCUCAUUGACAAUAUUGGGAUCCCAUUGACCCCAUUGGGACCCCAUUGGGACCCCAUUGUCCCCACUGACCCCAUUGGGACCCCAUUGACCCCACUGACCCCCAUUGACCCCAUUGGGACCCCACGGUCCCCACUGACCCCAUUUUGACCUCACUGACCCCCAUUGACCCCAUUGUGACCCCACUGACACUGUUGGGACCCUAUUGUCCCCAUGGGACCCCAUUGACCCCAUUGGGGCCCCAUUGUCCCCAUUGACCCCAUUGGGACCCCAUUGUCCCCAUUGAGCCCACUGGGACCGCAUUGACCCUAUUGGGACUCCAUUGACCCCAUUGGGACCCCAUUGUCCCCAUUGGUCGGAUUGUGACCCUAUUGACCCCAUUGUGACCCCAUUGACCCCAUUGGGACCCCGUUGACCCCAUUGUCCUCACUGACCCUACUCGGGUCCCAUUGACCCCCAUUGACCCCAUUGGGACCCCAUUGGGACCCCAUUGACCCCAUUGUGACCCCAUUGUCCCUAUUGACCCCAUUGGGACCCCAUUGUCCCCAUUGAUCGGAUUGGGACCCCAUUGGGACCCCAUUGACCCCAUUGUGGCCCCAUUGAUUCCAUUGGGACCACUUUGGGACCCCCUUGUUCUCAUUGACCCUAUUGGGAUCCCAAUGACCCCAUUGGGGCCCCAUUGAUCUCAUUGACCCUAUUGGGAUCCCAUUGACCCCAUUGAGGCCCCAUUGACCCCAUUGGGGCCCCAUUGACCACAUUGGGGCUCCAUUGACCCCAUUGGGGCCCCAUUGAUCUCAUUGACACUAUUGGGAUCCCAUUGACGCCAUUGGGACCCCAUUGUCCUUAUUGACCCUACUGGGGUCCCAUUGACCCCAUUGGGACCCCAUUGGGACCCCAUUGUCCCCACUGACCCCAUUGGGACCCCAUUGACCCCACUGACCUCCAUUGACCCCAAUGGGACCCCACGGUCCCCACUGACCCCAUUUUGACCCCACUGACCCCCAUUGACCCCAUUGUCCCCAUUGACCCCAUUGUGACCCCACUGACACUAUUGGGACCCCAUUGUCCCCAUUGGGACCCCAUUGACCCCAUUAUCCCCCAUUGACCCCCACUGUGGGGCAUACAUAGGGCCGGGGCUGACCCCAUAAGGACCUCAGUGACCCCAUAGGGACCUCAGUGACCCCAUAGGGAUCUCAGUGACCCCAUAGGGACCUCAGUGACCCCAUAGGGUCCUCAGUGCCCCACAGCGGUGUGGGUGACCCCAUUGGGACGCGGUGACCCCAAAUGGUGCCGGCGGCCCCAUAAGUGUGGGGCGGUGCUGUGGGGCGGCUGUGGGGCGGCGCGCGGUGGUGGUGCGUAAUAAAGGAGUGAGUGCACGGCUCUGCCCCAUGGAUGGCCCCAUAGCGGCCCCAUAGAGACCCCACAGAGCCCCAUAGGGACCCCACAGUGACCCCUUACAGACCCCAUAGAGCCCCAUAGUGCCCC